rnacentral:tRNA from 1 species
GAGGGUAUAGCUCAGUAGUAGAGUGUGUGCUUAGCAUACACGAGGUCCUGGGUUCAAUUCCCAGUACCUCCA